GAUUAUCCAUGAUUCAAUCAGAAAAGCAUCCACUCAUUCGAUUCUUCAUAUCAUAUUCUCAAAUCGAAAUUUGUUUCUCAAAAUCUUAUCCACCGCUGUCGAUUAAUUUAUCAUUUUUCUAGAGUUCGUAAAUUGUCGAAAUUUGUUUGAUCUGGAUAUUCAAUUCGAUGAUUUUGGUGAUUAUAUCGGAAAUCGAUGUGAAGGUAAUUUGAUGAAGUUGAUUGUUGAAUGAUUUGCCGGAAAACAUUCUAAGAAUAAUUCGUUAUCUGUGGACGAAGUUGAUGAGUUGAUUGUCAAUUUUAACAAAUUGGUUUGGUGCGGUGAUGAUCUAUCUUAUGAACUAGACGAGGAGCCCCGCGUUGCGGGGAUAGAUCUAAACAGAUAUGAUAGUUUUUGGCAUCUGGUGCUUCUUAUGAAUACGAAGGAUUACAUUUGUGGGACGUCCUCUGCUUUGCUAUAAGAAUAUUGACCAAUCAUGUUUUAAAAGGAUAUAAAAUUAAAGAUCGUUUGAUAACCCCACUUUGUGGGGAUGGACUUAGAUAGCUCCGAAGAUAAAAUUGUAUAUAAUUAAGUAUGACAAAUAGAAAAAACAAACCUGCAAUCCAGUUGUAUCAGAAGGAGAAUAAACUCGUUUAGUACGAUUUGAAAUUCUCCAAAGCUUUUCGGUAUGUGAUUGCGUCCAUGAAUAAACAAAUCCAUACAAUACCAUAAAUAGAUUCUAUAUUAAAAGAGUUCUUUAAAUUUAAUGAUUAAAAUGUAAACCAAAGAAAUUUAAAAUGGUUCUUAUCGAAGCAACACUAAAAAGAGCACUUGUAUAGUGGAAGUAAAGUCAACACCAAUUUUGUUUUAUGUCAUCGACAUAAUUCUUCAUUGGUCUCAUUCUCAUUAAUGAAUUUAAUAACAAUGGUGCUAAAACUAUCAUGCACCAAAUCUUGAUGCACUAUUAUCUUCACAGAUUGCAUAUAUUAAUUGUAAACAAAUGAAUAUAAAUAACAAUAAAAAAUUAAAAAAAAAAAAAAAACUAAAUCUACAAAUGCUAAAUAAAAUAAAUGUACCUUAGACAUGGCAAGCCCUGUAACAUAUGUAUCACCCUUGGAACCAACACUGGAAUGGAAUUAAAUUCCAAUUCCAGCCAAAUUAAACAGAAAGCCCCCCUCAUAAUUUUCGGAGCACUUCUUGCUGGUGGGGAAAAGGGCAUGAGAUAUGAAAUGUCAAAUGUCCGUAUUAUGAUACAUCAACCACAAAGUGGAUGUGGGGUAUGCCUCCUUUUUUUUUUCUUUUGUAAUUUCUAAGAACAAAUGCUGUUUUCGUUCUUUAUGCAUGUGGAAUUGGAAUUUGAGAUUCUUUUCCAAGGUUUGUUUAGAUGCCAAAUGUGGACAGAAUUCAUUUCCUGGAAUCCUUCAAAUUCCAUGUUCCUAAAGGAGGGUGGGAAUCCAAUUCUAUUCUUCCUUUCUUUUGUUAAAAGACUAAAAUACCCUCAUUAUAUUUAUGAAAUAAAUAAAAACGUAAGUUCAAUUCUUAGUUUGUUUCUUGCAGGGUCAUGUUGAGGGUAUAAGGCGCCAAGUCAAUGAAGCUGUUCAGUCUCGCCAUGUCUGUACAUCUAUCUUUUCCCAGUUGAAUUUUCAUUUUCUGUUUGUCUAAUAAUCAAUAUAAAUGUUAUUUAUACCUUUUUUCUUUUUUAUUUUGCAGAAAAUUUACAUGAUGUAUGUUGCCUUUACUAGGCAACCACGGGAGAAGGUGCAACAAUACACAGAGAGGGACCGUUUCUUAUCUGUAUCUGAGGUACCAUUUGAAAACAGAUUAAACUUUUAUUUAUUUAUUUUUUUUCCAAAAGGUCAUAUCUUAGAAUCUUAGAAUUCAAGAAAAAAAUUUAUGCCCCUAAAAUACCCUUCGUCCUUAUGGCAUGGCAAAAUAUGUGUUAAUAGAUCUUCAAAUCGAUACCGAAAGCAGAACCCAAAUCAUAGAACUCAAGACUUAAAAAGAAGAAUUAAAUGAACCUUUUGAUCAUAUACCAACUUCAACAUCUUAUCAUCUGACUUUUGCUGCUCCGAAGUUGGCAAUUCAUUCUGCAAAAAAAGAACCUUUCUUUAAUGAUUAAUACUUUGUGUAAAUUGGGAACUAAACAAUACUUACCUGUGAAUUUUGUAAAUCCACUUUCACUAGCCUUUCUAAAUCCCUAAAAAGGAGAAUCAAAGGAAUCAGCAGUAGAUACGGAAGAAGGUGAAGUAAAAGAUAUGUAGGUUUUCUGAUGCUUAUUACGCAUGUUAUCUAGUCAACUUACAAACCCUCAAUCAAUUUGCUCAAAUCUGAAAAAAGUCAUUGACUAUUCACACAAAGAAGUCAAUCUACAUGAUUGUAUCUACUGAAUUACUACAAUUUCAAGGCCAAAGUUAUAAGAAGACAUCAAAAUCAACCAUGCUUACCUGUGAUAUAAUAUAACCUAUCUAUUGUUUGGCAUUAUAACAAUCUGAAGAGUGAAGCUUCCCGAUGACGGAUAGAAGUUCCACAUCAUACAAGUAGCUACAAUAUCAAAACUCAGCCUCAUUAAAAAAUUUAAAACCAGUUGUGUGAGAAGUCAAUCCAUAAGAUAUUAGCAACUCCCAAAUCAUAGAAAAAAAAUUAUAAAGCAGAACACUUCUUUGUAGGGGAUUCCAAUGAAUCAGUAGAUUCAUGUGAAUAAUUAUGACUAUCGUCAUCAUAUUUUCUUACAAGGUUAAAUAGUUCAUGGAAGAACUCGUUGAACUUACUUUGAAUCAGUCUUGGAUUAUGAGUCUCUGCAGGGUGCUGAAAGCUAAAUAUCACAAAAAAGCCUCAAAUUUUAGGAGAAGAAGAAGAUGGAAGUGUAAAAAGAAAAUCGUUUUUACACCUUUAAGAAGUUACUCAUUGAAGUCAGUUACAUUCAACAAACCAUCUCCAUCAGCAUCAGAUGCAUUGAAGCGCUCCUCUUUUCGCCACGAAGGGUAAAAUCACUGAAAAACGAAGAUUUGAAAUAAAAUCAAUGUCGGGCGUAAUCAAAUUGAAUGAGAAAAAAAAAGCAUUUGAAAUUUAGGGUUUAAACAUUAAUGGAGGGAAAAUAGAAACGAAUUGGACCAACACAUAUGCACCAAAACCGAAAGAGAUAUGCUCUCCUUCAUCUGAUUAUCUAAAAAUCAAAUGAAAUUAAAACUAAAUAGGAACGUCAGUGCGUAGGAAAAAAGGAAAUUAGAAAUUGAAGCCCUUUACCUGAACUGAUUCCAGAUGAGAGAACGGAUACACGGAGCUCGUUCAAAACCAGUCGGUAUUGGAGCUGGCUGAAAACCACCUCCGCUGCCAGAUUUAAUAGCUAUAAUUAAAAUCACAAUAAACCCAAAAUAGAAACCAUACGUAGAUGAAGGAUCGACUUGUACCUGCCGAGAAAUAAAGAAACAAAGUCGCUAAAAAGAAAAAGCAGAAACAUGUCUGAUCUGAAUCGGAAGCGGAAGACGGGAGAGGCAGCCUCAAAAUGGAAUAAAGGAGUAUUAGAUGAGGCGGUGGAGGAAUAAGCAAAACGGUGAAGAAGAAUAAGCCAGAGUACGUCUCAGUCGGAUAUGGGAAUCAACCAAAGAUGGGGGCAGCAGAUGCGGAGAAGAAGAAGCCGACGAUGAACAGUUGUUUGAGUUUGGGUUCGAAGACAAAGAUUAGUUGCAGUUGAAUAGAUAAGGAAUGAAAACGGUGAAAGAGAGAGGCGGUGGGAAGGANNNNNNNNNNNNNNNNNNNNNNNNNNNNNNNNNNNNNNNNNNNNNNNNNNNNNNNNNNNNNNNNNNNNNNNNNNNNNNNNNNNNNNNNNNNNNNNNNNNNNNNNNNNNNNNNNNNNNNNNNNNNNNNNNNNNNNNNNNNNNNNNNNNNNNNNNNNNNNNNNNNNNNNNNNNNNNAUAUAUAUAUAUAAUUGGUUGAAUAUUGGAUGUUGAUGAUGAAGAUUGCUGAUCGAGUUGAAGGUUGGUUCAUAAAAGAAUGAUUUUACUUUCCCUAAGUCUAUUACGAUGAACUGGAAUCGAAGAGAGGUUCAGGAUUUGAAAUUGAAAUUCUGAUGAGCUUCGUUUCUUGUUAUUAAUUCAGUUGACUUCAGUAUUGUGUUGAUGUUAUUAAUCGUUUGAAGUCUGUGUGAAGUCAAAAUCAAUUGAAGUUUGUAUGUUGUUCCCAUGGCUACCAAUAACUCUGGCAAAAGGCAAGAUACGAUGAAUUCGGUGGCUAGCCAAAUUAAUUUGGAAUCGAUUCACUGUAUCUUCGCAAUUAACUUUUUGAAAAAAAAAUCUUAUAUUUCGGCUCUAUGGACAAAAAAUCAUUUUUUUAUAAUUUAACCAUUGAAACUGGCAAAUAAUUCUAAAAUAACCCUCGUAACUCGUUAGUGUUGGUUUUGUUAAUUUAUCAUAAAAUGGUGACCGACUAAAAAGGUACAAAACCUGAUAAAAUGUUAAAAUAAUUUUUUUUGACAAAUAUGAGGCAUUAGUGAACACAAAAAGAGACUUGUUGAUUUGUCGUAAUAAAUGCGUUUCUAAAC
rnacentral:lncRNA from 1 species